GGCCCCAUGGUCAAGCGGUUAAGACAUCGCCCUUUCACGGCGGUUACAGGGGUUCAAAUCCCCUUGGGGUCA
rnacentral:tRNA from 1 species